GAUGAACGCUAGCGGCAGGCCUAACACAUGCAAGUCGAGGGAGGAGCUUUCGGGCUUCGACCGGCGUACGGGUGCGUAACGCGUAUACAAUCUGCCUUUCACAUAGGGAUAGCCCGAAGAAAUUUGGAUUAAUACCUAAUGGUAUAUAGGGGUGGCAUCACCUUUAUAUUAAAGCUGAGGCGGUGAAAGAUGAGUAUGCGUUCUAUUAGCUAGUUGGAGAGGUAACGGCUCCCCAAGGCGACGAUAGAUAGGGGUUCUGAGAGGGAUAUCCCCCACACUGGUACUGAGAUACGGACCAGACUCCUACGGGAGGCAGCAGUGAGGAAUAUUGGACAAUGGUCGGAAGACUGAUCCAGCCAUGCCGCGUGCAGGAAGACGGCCUUAUGGGUUGUAAACUGCUUUUGCAGGGGAAGAAUAAGGACUACGCGUAGUUUGAUGACGGUACUCUGCGAAUAAGCAUCGGCUAACUCCGUG
rnacentral:rRNA from 1 species